AUUGAACGCUGGCGGCAUGCUUUACACAUGCAAGUCGAACGGUAACAGGCCUUCGGGUGCUGACGAGUGGCGAACGGGUGAGUAAUGCAUCGGAACGUGCCCAGAGGUGGGGGAUAACGCAGCGAAAGCUGUGCUAAUACCGCAUGUGAUCUGAGAUGAAAGCCGGGGAACAACCAGCAAUGUUUGGCCUCGGCGCUUUUGAGCCGCCCGAUGUCGGCUAAGGUAGUUGGGGGGGUAAAGGCCUACCAACCCGACGAUUGGUACCUGGUCUGAGAGGCCGGCCAGCCACACUGGGACUGAGACAAGGCCCAGACUCCUGCGGGAGGCAACAGUGGGGAAUUUUGGACAAUGGGCGCAAGCCUGAUCCAGCAAUGCCGCGUGCGGGAAGAAGGCCUUCGGGUUGUAAAACGCUUUUGUACGGAACGAAAAGGCUCUGGCUAAUACCUGGGGCUGAUGACGGUACCGUAAGAAUAAGCACCGGCUAACUACGUG
rnacentral:rRNA from 1 species